AAGGUCAUUGAUUUCGAGAAGGCGCAAAGAGGCUAAACAAUGAGGCAGUGACUUAGACACCUAUGCCUGGGGGGGUCCUCCACCCCCUCUGGAGGCGCCGUUGCCUAGCAGCCUGUACGCGGGCCAGGACGGUCUGGGAGUCGAGUCUUCGUCCCACUCCUCCGGUUCGCACUUCCCGAUGCCUCUCACCCUUCCCUCUCUAGAAACAAACGUGUUAACAGCUUCUUCGAGACCCUAGGUUUUAAGUGCUAGAACUCUGCAGUGUGUGUCUCCGGGUCAACCUCACCGGAUCGCAAUGUCCGAAUUGCGCGGGACUGUGGCGAUCGCAAGGUGCAGCCCAUUCAUUUUACAGGGAGACCGAUCUGGGCUCAGCGAGAUGGUUUCUCUAGAGUCUCGUGGAGGCAGGCGGCUGGAGCUGUGAUCUGGGUGACUGCAGGCUGUUCGUACCAUUUAUUAAUUCGGCGAUGCAUAGAGUCUGGAUUUUAAUUUUUUCUUUUUUUGCCAAGUAGAUAAUGUAUGCAAAAACAUUUUUAAAGGAGCUCUGUGAAACACUGUUUCCAAGCACUUGCUGUUUGCCACUGUUAGUUUACUUGUGCCGGAGUGAGUUCUUGAGGCGCGGCUGACUUCCCUCCAAGGAUUUACGCAGUUGACAAAUAUUUUUUAAGGAAUGUGUAUCACAAUCCAUCUAUUUGUCUUUCCCUGGAAGUGCUUCUAGAAAUGUAAUCUGUCAAAAGGACCUAAGUCAGCCGCCUACUGUGGGGCUCGGGUUAUUAGGAAGAUCUGUGCUGGAGAUCAACAAUUGGGCUAAGUAUUUCACAGGAUCACUUUGUGCUCUGGCACAAUGAAAGCAGAUUCCUGUGUGAGUGAUUUUCAACCCUGGCUCCCUUUAAGACGGGUAUUUUAAAUAAACAUUUUAGAUUCACGGAAAAGUUGCUAGUACAGAAAGUUCCCGUGUACUCCUCACUCAGGUGUCCCUAUUGUCGACAUCUCAAAUUAUCAUGGUGCAUUUGUCACAACUAAGAAAUCAAUGCUGAUACAUUGCUAUCAACUAAACCUCAGUCUAUUUGGGUUUCAGUAGUUUUCUAUCAAAACCUCUUCCGCUCCAGGAGCUCCCUGAAGAUACCACAUUCCAUUCCAUCAUCGUCUCCCUCACCUCCUGACAACUCAAGACUGUUUACGAUGACCAUGACAGGUUUGAGAGUACCAGUGAGGUAUUUUGUAGAAUGGCUGAGAGUUCCCUUAAAUGACAGAUGCCCAAAUUCUCUCCCUAAAGAUGCUGACUUAAAUGAUUUCAGAUAAAGCUGGGUCAUCAGUUUUGCUUCGUUUUUGUUUUUAAGUUUCCCAAGUUAGUCUAACAAGGCAGCCAGGACUUAACCAUUAUGUUUGAGUUCUAAAUAUUGAGAUUAUUGCCAACUUCCUAGAUAAAAGCAAAAUUCUGAUAACUGAGAAAAUAAGCAUUCAAAUAAAUUCAUAAAUGUGGAACAAAAAAGGCAUUGAAAUACUUCAGAACAUUUAAUUCAUAUUAGCAUCUUUCAGGAAACUGAUAAUUUUUUUCUUUCUUUCACAAGUCAAAUGGGGUGGGGGCAGACACUUGGCCUAGCAGUUAAGACGCCCGUUGGGGUGCCACAUCCCAUAUAGGAUGUCCUAGGUUUGAGUUCCAGCUCUGCUCUCAAUUCCAGCUUCCUGCUGAUGCAGGGAGCUGGGAGGCCGCAGGUGAUGGCUCAAAGGGUUGUGUCCUACCACCCACUUGAAAGACAACGAUUUCUGGCUUCCAGCUUCGUUGAGGGCAUCUGGAGAGUGAACCAGCGGAUGGGAGGCCUUAAAAAAUAUAAAUAAGACCGAUGUGGUGAUGUGGAAAAAUAUAUAUUAAUAAAAAAUUUUUGAAGUCAAUUCUGUGAAAAUUGUGGACUGUUUCAAAAACUGAAUCAUGUUAAGCACGUCACAUUUUAUAAAUGUUUAUUUGGUUUUAUGAUUUUAUAAAAAUUUUGUUACUUUUUUUUUAAAGAUUUAUUACUUGUUUGACAGAGUUAUGGAGAGAGAGGUAGAGACAGAGAGAGAGGUAUCCAUCCGCUGGUUCACUCCCCAGAUAGCUGCAAUGGCCGGAGCCGUGCCGAUCCGAAGCCAGGAGCCAGGAGCUUUUUCUGGGUCUCCCACGUGGGUGCAGGGGCUCAAGGACUUGGGCCAUCUUCUACUGCUUUCCCAGGCCAUAACAGAGAGUUGGAUCAGAAGUGGAGCAGCCAGGACUAGAACCGGCCCCAAGCCAGGGCGUUAACCCGCUGCGCCAUAGAUUUUGUUACAUUUUUAUCAUUCCCAAUUAAUGAAACAAAACCAUUAUUGAAAAAAUAAAAGUUACUCCAGUAAUAGGAAGAACAGUAGAUGUGACAAUUCGUAGUAAAGGGGCUACACAGGAAUUACUGGGCUGGUGACACCAGCAUUCAUAUGGGUGCCGGUUCUAAUCCUGGCUGCUCCACUUCUGAUUCAGCUCCCUGCUGAUGCACCUGGGAAAGAAGUGGAAGACGGAUCAAGUAUCUGGGCCAUAUGGGAGACUCGACUGGAGUUCUAGGCUCCUGGCUUCGCACUGGCCGUUGUGGCCAUUUGGAAAAUGAACCAGUAGAUUGAAGAUCUCUGUCUCUCUCUCUCUCUCUCCCUAUCUCUAUCUCUGUGUGUGUGUGUGUGUGUCUCCCUCUUUCUGUAGCUCUGCUUUUCAAAUAAAUAAAUCUUUUAUAAAAAAAAGAAUAGGAUCGUUUUCCUACUGGAGAAAAUGAUGUGUAGAGAAACAACUUAAUCCCUGGGAAAGGGUCAGUUUCACAAUCAGAAUAAGAUCUCAGUUCAUCGAUCCUUAUCAUUCACUCUCCAGCAACUAGAUAUCUCUUUAGGUUAAUCAGGUUUAAAAUCAAAUACCUGCAGCAGGCAUUUAGCCUCAUGCUGAAGUCCCUCCUUUCUCAUAUCGAAAUGCCCAGGUUCAUUUCCUGGCUGCAGCUCCAGCUCGACUUCAGCUUCCUAUCAGUGCAGACUCCAGGAGGCACCGGUCAUGGAUCCAGUAAUCAGGUUCCUGCCAUCCCCGUGGGAGACUUGGAUUGCAUCUCCAGCUCCUGGAUCUGGCCUCAACACAGCCCCAUCUAUUUCAGGUAUCUCCUCUCCUACUAUCUCCUGAGUGACGUCUGACCACCCCUGCCUGCCUUCAGCAAGAACUCUGCCAAAGUCUGCUGAGAAUCUACCCUCACUCCGUGUUUACUUCUCAUGGCAUUUAUGUAAAUUCUCUCCUCUGAGAUGGUCCUUCUUCCCUGCCUCUAGACUGCAUGCAGAUCAGAAGUCACAACUGAAAUGGAAAAGAUACCCUCUUGUCUCCAGUUGGUGAUUUGCAUGUCAGAGGGAGUAGAAUGGACAACAUCCCUUCCAACCUGUCUACACCACACCGGAGUCGUAUUUUCUGGGCAGUCAUAUAUUUUUUUAAGAUUUUAUUUAUUUAUUUGAGAGGCAGAGUUACAGACAAUGAGAGGGAGAGACAGAGAGAAAGGUCUUCCGUCCGUUGGUUCACUCCCCAAUGGCCAAAAAGAUCGGAGCUUCGCUAGUCCGAAGCAAGGAGCCAGGAGCUUCUUCCAGGUCUCCCAUGCGGGUGCAGGGGCACAAGGACUUGGGCCAUCCUCCACUGCCUUCCCGGGCCACAGCAGAGAGCUGGAUUGGAAGAGGAGCAGCCAGGAUUAGAACCAGUACCCAUAUGGGAUGCCAGCGCUGCAGGCGGAGGAUUAACCUACUGUGCCACAGUGCUGGCUCCAUGGGCAGUCAUAUUUCUUGAAAGGACAGCAGUUUGUUUGGGCUUUUGUCGCAAGCUCAAGUUCUGCUAUUUCCCAGUGAAACCAGAGAGCAAUACAACAAAGGUUGACUUCACUAUCAUG